UCUCCUGAUUUUGUCGACGACAUGCGCC
rnacentral:sRNA from 1 species